GACGAACGCUGGCGGCGUGCCUAACACAUGCAAGUCAACUUGACUGAAGGAGCAAUCUGACAGUAGAGUGGCGCAAGGGUGCGUAACGCGUAAGUAACUUGCCCCAAGGUAAGGAAUAACGUCGAGAAAUCGGCGCUAAUACCUCAUAAUGCAGCGGAUCCGCAUGGAUAUGUUGUUAAAGGUUUACCGCCUUGGGAUAGGCUUGCGUCUGAUUAGCUAGUUGGUGUGGUAACGGCACACCAAGGCUACGAUCAGUAACUGGUCUGAGAGGAUGAUCAGUCACACUGGAACUGAGACACGGUCUAGACUCCUACGGGAGGCAGCAGUGAGGAAUAUUGGGCAAUGCUCGAAAGAGUGACCCAGCAACGCCGCGUGGAGGAUGAAGGUAUUCUAUAUCGUAAACUCCUGUGAGAGCAGACGAAAGACAGAUUAUUAAUCUGGAUGACUGUAUGCUCAGAGGAAGCCCCGGCUAACUACG
rnacentral:rRNA from 1 species